AGAUGUGAGGGCGAUCUGGCUGCAACAUCUGUCACCUCUAUGAUCGCCAGGGUUGAUUCGGCUGAUGCGGGUGGCUACAGAAGAAAGUCCCCUUCCUCCCUCAACUCUCCACAUGUGUCACUCCUGAAACUGCGCACUCGAUCAAAGAGGACAACCCCCUGCCCUCGGCCAACGGAAUAUAGGCAGCUGUGCUCCCCUCUGGGAGCCUCCAAACAAGCUCUCAGUCAAGCAAACAUACGAGUACCUGAGAGUGGUUUUGUUAUGUAAUUAACCUAGUUAUCUACAGGAAUUUGCUCUUUGU
ensembl:misc_RNA 7SK 7SK RNA